CAGCCGCCACGGGAAUACGUAGGGUGCAAGCGUUACUCGGAAUUACUGGGCGUAAAGCGUGCGUAGGUGGUGGUUUAAGUCCGUUGUGAAAGCCCUGGGCUCAACCUGGGAAUUGCAGUGGAUACUGGGUCACUAGAGUGUGGUAGAGGAUAGUGGAAUUUCCGGUGUAGCAGUGAAAUGCGUAGAGAUCGGAAGGAACAUCUGUGGCGAAGGCGACUAUCUGGGCCAACACUGACACUGAGGCACGAAAGCGUGGGGAGCAAACAGGAUUAGAUACCCGCGUAGUCCCUGUCUCUUAUAA
rnacentral:rRNA from 1 species